GCCUUCGUGGUGUAACGGUAGUACACUCGGCUCGUAUUCGAAGGGUCCAGGUUCGAGUCCCGGCGAGAACG
rnacentral:tRNA from 1 species